UACUAUUGUAGAGUCAUACUCUGGUUGCCACGGUAGCCCAGAAGAGAGGGGGCGAAAGCUGCCCUAAAGGGAUUAUGAGUUUUGAAGGACAAGUCAGACAUUACAUGGGCUCUUGACAAGUGGGACAUUCCAGGAAUGAACAGCACCAAAAGAGCAAGUCAGGGAACUAGCUUUGGUUGGGUUCGGUGGUACACAAAGCACAAGGCCUGGGUUGGGGUUAGGAGGAAAUGAGACUUGCGGCGGGUCGGGGCUGAAGAUGUGGCAGCGCCCUGAACCUGGAGAAAGGCUGAAUCCCUUUGGUCAAGGAGAGGGAGAGAGAGGUAAGGGUCUGGUCUUACUUUUUAAGCAGGAAGAAGACUACAAACCACCAUCUACCAUCUGCCAAUAAACGCCUACGUCAGAAUCUGGAGUCAGCUGGAGUGUGCCAGCAAGCAAGAUGGCCCUUACCAGAUGCUGGCACCUUGAUAUUUGACUUCCCAGCCUCCAGAACUGUGAGAAACAAAUUUAUUUUCUUUAUAAAUUACUCAGAUUGUGGUGUUCUGUUACAGCAACACAAAAUGGACUAUGUGAAGAAAACCAUGUUGGAAUCUUGUGCUGUCAUUGAUAAGAAAGGAUCUGAGCAUUAGGUCAAUCACCAAAAAACUGAAAAAUCAGUAACAAUGAUGACAGACUCUUCAAAUAGGAUGAUUUAAAUUUUAGGAAAUUGGAAGAAGACUCCAAGAAACUUAACAAGGUCCUCCAAUAUUUUCCCCAAAAUGAUCUUCUCUGAUUUGACUAUGCUUGUUCCUCCAUAUCUCCCUGAUCCCUAGACUUCUUCUGUCCUCUAUCCACAUUCUCUCCCAAGGUGGGUCAUCUAGUUUCAUGACUUUAAAUCCUCCCUUAAACUGUUGGUUCUCAAAUAUGCACUUGUCACUUCUCUCCUAAACUCCAGACUCAUGUAUUCAGCUACCUACUUGACACUUCUGUGUGGAUGUCUAGUAGGUAAUAAUCUUAGAAUUAUUGUGCCCUGUCAAAUUCCUGCUCUUCCCUCUAAAAUAUCUUAAUACUAUUCAGUCUUCCCCAUUUCUGUUUAUCUCAGUUCCUUUUCAGGUCAAAAACCUGAGUUAUCUUUGAUUCCUCUCUUUCUCUCACAUUCUAGUAGUCCAGUUCCUUUCAUAAUCAGAUCAAUUAGUAAGCCCUAUCAGCUCCAUUUUUAAAAUGUAACUAGGAUCCCAACACUUCUCACCAUUUCCACUACUACUCUGUCUCCCACCUGAUUCUUUCAGGAGCCACUCGAUUCGUUUCCUGCUUCUACCCUCACUACUCUACAGUCUAUUGUCAGCUCAGCAGCCACGGUAAGCCUACUUUCACUUCCCUGCUCAAAACUCUAUUGGACUCUUCAUCUCAGAGUAAAGGUCUUUCCAGUGGUAUACAAUAUCCAAUCAUAUCUCUCCAGAUUGCCUACCUUCCUCCCCUCACUCCCUCCAUUCCGGCUGCACUGGCUCCUUGCUCUUCUUUGAACGCAUUAGGCACAUCCUGCUCCAGGACAUUUGCACUUGAUGUUCCCUCUAACUAGAAUGCUCUUUCUCUGGAUAUUCAUAUGUUUCUCUCCUCAUCACCUUCAAAUCUUUUCCCUCAUGUCAUCUUCUCAGAGAGACAUAUUCUGACCACCCUCUUUAAACUGUAGUCUUUACCAAUAUUCUGUACUACUUAUUCACCAUCUCUGCUUUUGUAUUUUCUUCUUAGUAUUUGCUACUUUCCAGCAUGAUCUGCUUUUCCCUAAUAUUUUAUGAUUUAUCACCCAUUAGAAUAUAAGGUCCAUGAAAACACGAAAAAUAUUUUCUUUUUUUUUUUUUGACUGAUCCCACUGCCUAGAACAGUGCUUGGUGCAUAGUAAUUAGUCAAUAAAUAUUUGUUGGAUGAAUGAGUAGAUGUCUUGAAAGUCAAAUAGGAAGGAAUAUGGUGAUGUCAUACAAUUUUAUUAAAAAAUAUAUGCAUCCCUAGUAUUCUAAGAAUUAGCACAUAGUAAAGUUAUAGCCUAAUUUUAUAAACUCUAAAAUCACUUUUAUGGUUUUUAGCUGCUGUUUUUCAAGAUAAAACUCCAAACAAGUACAGUUUUCAGUAUUUCUUAUGAUAUAUUCAUCAUUAUUUCAAAUGCAUUGGCUUUAUGGGGCCUGCACAAUCAUCUUUAGAUAAAAAUGACCUCUUAUAUUUCUGGGUGACUAGACACAAGCCUUAAUUAAUUUUUAAAAAGGGAUUCUAUGCAGAAGGGACAGUGUUUCUGCCUGUCUUCUUUCACACUUUGCACACCCAGGCCAUCUGGAGUGAAAAUGAAGUCUGCCCAGAGCUGCUGGAAGCCCCAGCUGCCCUGCUGCCCAUGGAGUCCUCUGAGGACGACUCCAGAGUCCCUCAACUCCUUGGAGGAGAUAAGCAGCCAACACAGUGUUGUUCAGCAGAUGCCACCGUCUGCCAGAUUCAUUAAUGAUGUCAGAAGUGUAAAACUAAAGGCAGAAGACUGUUGUUUUCAAGAUUGCUCCCCAACUAGGCUUGGCGACCCUUGAAGGCAGAGGACCUUUCUGAGUUAUCUUUGUACCCUGCAUAGUCCUGGCACAAAAUAGCACCUAAGUGGCCCUGGAAUUUGAACCACCAUCUUCUGGAGUGACUCAAAUGCAGAGGAAGCCAGGCCUGCUGCUAACGUUUCUGAGAGGCGGCAAGAGUAUAAAUGGAGAUCCACAUAUGUAUAAAUAAAGAGUGUGAAUCAAGCUAACAAACUGUUUAAUAAAAUAUGAUCUACCCUCUUAGCUUGACAAAUCAACUUUUCAAACACCUGGAAGAACAAGUUUGCACUCAGGAUUCUCAGACUCCUCAGAGUUCUGCACUGGGAUGUGGAAGGGCUGUGCAAGCCAGCCCUUGGGUCCCUGAUCCCUGUCUCCUGGCCUGUGCCCGUCUCUUCUCAGCCUGGCUCCAACUCCCAUUGAGAGGAAGUUCUUGUACACAUAUGAUACUGCAGCCCUUAUGUCUAAUAUUUAUCCAUACCUUCUGCAAACAGCCACUGUGUGACCACCCUUGGGCUUCCCAGGGGUCUGCAAACUGACAAUACAGACAAAGGGAACCAAGGCAGAGGCUCACAGACUGUAGAAAUGGGCUUGGGGCCAUCUGGGCAGAGACUUGUGGAAUCCCAGCACGAUCACUCUGGGUGCUGUGUGAAAUGGAUGAAUAGCAAGGAGCUGCAGCCAAGAGCAAAUCAACAGAAGCACCACUCAAAAUGCCUCAGUACCCAUUACAUAAGGAUUCUUGUGAUUAAUUCUUCCCCAAAAUUUAGAGCCAAGAAAAAUCCAGCUCUCCUACUGAGAGUUGUAGAUUAGAGCUUCUGUUUCUAAUCUACAAACAAACAAAUGUGUGCAAUGUCUUUUCAUGACAAUUCCAACUUUAUCAUAAGGUUGUCUACUAAGAAACUAGUAGGCAGGUUUCUCUUGUUGUCUAGACCACCUGAAAGCUCAUAGCUGAGUUUGCACUUAUUUGCAGAGUAAACUGCUCAUUUAUCAAUCUGGCAUCCAAUCACAACUUUUUAGCUAACUGUAUGUUUUCAUAAACACUUUUCUCACACAGUAUAAAUUUUAAAUAAAUAACAAUAGCAAUUAAGUAGUAACAACUCGAGACUGGUAUCUGACUAGUGGUUCUUUCACCAGUGUGUACACUGGAAGUUUUGUUUUGUUUUUUGAUGUUUGUACAUUGUAAUUGCAGGACAGGUAGUAAGAAGAUUUCAAAUUCACAUUAGCUUUGCUACCACUAAAUUAUGGUGACUGUUCCUAAUUUGCAAACAAAUGUAUGCAAUCUCUUUUUAUGAUUAUCCCAACUUUAUCAUAAGGUUGUUAUAUUUUAAGACAUAUGAAAAGAUAUAAAGUAUAAUACAGUGAAUACAUAUAUAUCUAACUCCCAGUUUAAGAAAUAAAACAUUAGCAAAUACAGCUGAAGCUCCAUGAAUUCCCCUCCCAAAUCAUACUCCCUUCCCACCCGCAGAGGGAACCUCUAUUCUGAGCCUGGUGUUUAUCACCACCAAGAAUUAAAAAAAUACUUUUACUAUAUAUACACAAGUAUGUACCCCUUAGAAAUGAGUAGUAGUACUGUUUUGUAUGUCUUUACACUUUAAGUAAAUGGUAUAAGUUAUUUCUUGUUUUUGCUCAAAAUUGUUGAAAUUUAUGCCCUUUGAUUCUAUAGCUGACUUUCACUGUGAGUCAUUCCAUCAUUAUUUCUGUAUUCAUUCUCCUGCUGAAGUACAUUUCAGGUUGUUGCUAUUCCUCUGCUGAUCCCCCUCCCCCAACACACAUGCUUUUAUUAAUAAAUCUGCUGGAACAUUCUUGCAUAC
rnacentral:lncRNA from 10 species